AGUGAACGCUGGCGGCAGGCCUAACACAUGCAAGUCGAGCGGCAGCGGGUCCUUCGGGAUGCCGGCGAGCGGCGGACGGGUGAGGAAUGCAUCGGAAUCUGCCCUGUCGUGGGGGAUAACCUAGGGAAACUUAGGCUAAUACCGCAUACGACCCACGGGUGAAAGCGGGGGAUCGCAAGACCUCGCGCGAUAGGAUGGGCCGAUGUCCGAUUAGCUAGUUGGCGGGGUAAAGGCCCACCAAGGCGACGAUCGGUAGCUGGUCUGAGAGGAUGAUCAGCCACACUGGGACUGAGACACGGCCCAGACUCCUACGGGAGGCAGCAGUGGGGAAUAUUGGACAAUGGGCGCAAGCCUGAUCCAGCCAUGCCGCGUGGGUGAAGAAGGCCUUCGGGUUGUAAAGCCCUUUUGUCCGGGAAGAAAUCGUCUGGGCUAAUACCCCGGGCGGAUGACGGUACCGGAAGAAUAAGCACCGGCUAACUUCGUG
rnacentral:rRNA from 1 species